rnacentral:rRNA from 1 species
GUGGGGAAUAUUGGGCAAUGGGCGAAAGCCUGACCCAGCAACGCCGCGUGAAGGAAGAAGGUUUUCGGAUCGUAAACUUCUAUCCUUGGUGAAGAUAAUGACGGUAGCCAAGAAGGAAGCCCCGGCUAACUACGUGCCAGCAGCCGCGGUAAUACGUAGGGGGCAAGCGUUGUCCGGAAUGAUUGGGCGUAAAGGGCGCGUAGGCGGCCCGGUAAGUCUGAAGUGAAAGUCCUGCUUUUAAGGUGGGAAUUGCUUUGGAUACUGUCGGGCUUGAGUGCAGGAGAGGUAAGCGGAAUUCCCGGUGGAGCGGUGAAAUGCGUAGAGAUCGGGAGGAGCACCAGUGGCGAAGGCGGCUUACUGGACUGUAACUGACGCUGAGGCGCGAAAGUGUGGGGAGCAAACAGGAUUAGAUACCCCAGUAGUCC